CAUACACAGACAUACACGCUCCGAGAGAGGCAGAUACUUGCAAACUAAAGCACAGAGCUAGCAUGAUCCCAAGAGCGCCAAGCCUCUUCCACCUCGAGGAGGGGGUGGGCGCCUCGACCUCGACGCCAAUGGCGGCCUCAUCCGCCGGCGAGCUCGUAGGGCUCCGCCUCAUCAUACAGCCGUCGCCGAGGAAACAACAGCUGCCGACGGUCCUGAGGAGGUCAGCGGUGAGGGUCCCGGCGGCGGCGACGGGCGCGUCCAGCAAGUGCCACGAGAACGGCAGGGUGUUUGUCGGGCUCGAGUUCUUGAAACGCUGCUUCUGCUGCCACAAGAACCUCGACGCCACCAUGGACGUCUUCGUGUACAAGUAAGAAUCCCUGCCACUAUCCAAUAACCUUCCUCGAUCUCUCAGGAGCUCGUUCACUCUCGAGCCUAGCUCGACCGUGUGAGUUAGUGACUCAUGUGGGUUUCGGGUGACUUAAUUUUGCAGAGGAGAGCA
rnacentral:lncRNA from 1 species